GUUCCGAGCCCACCGGCUGCUGAGGGGAGGAGGCGAAAGGAGGGGGUUGGGAGUCCACGGGCAUUGGGUCGGGGCAGCAGGGACUUCAGGCGACGGCGUGGGGGGCUAGAUCCGGAGGAGAGGGGAGGGGUGGCGGGGGUCGGAGGAGCACGCAGGGCGGAGGGGUGUGGGGCUCUUUAAGAGCCACACGGCUAGCAGGAGAGGCGUGCGGCCCUGUGCUGGUAGCGCACUGACCCCGAAGGGGAUUUAGCGGGAAGGGAGCGACCGGGUUCUGGGGGCUUUGUCCGGGGGCGCCCAGAAAGGCCGAGGCACAAGAAUAAGAAGCGGCUGCAGCGUGAAAGGCUGCGAGGAGCGGCGGCGCUGCUGCUCUUGACUUCUGAGCAGGGCUUAGAAGGCCUGCCCCGGCUUAAGUUGAACUGAGGGUGCUGAGUCCUGAGCGCCGAGUUCAGGAGCCCUGAGUCCUGGCCUCUAGGCUGAGGAGGCGUGGGAUAGGGGCGGACGCUGGAGUAGUGGGUCUUCUUGCGACAACCCCCUCUUGGAUCUUACAGCCUUGCUACCCUAGCGCAAGGUUGUUAGCCUAGCUUGCCGCGUCUGGCAUAGCCAAAGAAAUUUACUUUCCCAGCUUGGCUUUUGCUUUUGUGUGUCCACCUCGAGCAGAUCCGGAGCUGGCCGACCCCAGACUGAUUCUCAACAGGUGGCUGGUGAUCAGAGGAGAAUCGCCAGGCUGAGGGGGAAGCAAGGAACAUAUGGACCCAAGUAGGAUCCUGAAAGAAUUUCGAGAAGCUCCGAGCCCAAAUCAUACAGGCCCUAAGUAUUGGUCAAUCACCAGGAGUGAAACAGAAACUUAGACCACACACUCAAGUCCUGUUUCUGAAUGAGGGGCUCAAGUGCUAGGCCACAAGUGGCCGCUAUGGAUGCUGCAUUGUGGAGUCCCAC
rnacentral:misc_RNA from 1 species